rnacentral:rRNA from 1 species
ACGAACGCUGGCGGCGUGCUUAACCCCUGCAAGUCGAACGGAAAGGCCCUGCUUUUGUGGGGUGCUCGAGUGGCGAACGGGUGAGUAACACGUGAGUAACCUGCCCUUGACUUUGGGAUAACUUCAGGAAACUGGGGCUAAUACCGGAUAGGAGCUCCUGCUGCAUGGUGGGGGUUGGAAAGUUUCGGCGGUUGGGGAUGGACUCGCGGCUUAUCAGCUUGUUGGUGGGGUAGUGGCUUACCAAGGCUUUGACGGGUAGCCGGCCUGAGAGGGUGACCGGCCACAUUGGGACUGAGAUACGGCCCAGACUCCUACGGGAGGCAGCAGUGGGGAAUAUUGCACAAUGGGCGGAAGCCUGAUGCAGCAACGCCGCGUGCGGGAUGACGGCCUUCGGGCUGUAAACCGCUUUCGCCUGUGACGAAGCGUGAGUGACGGUAAUGGGUAAAGAAGCACCGGCUAACUACGUG